rnacentral:rRNA from 1 species
UACGGAGGGGGCUAUCGUUGUUCGGAAUUACUGGGCGUAAAGGGCGUGUAGGCGGCGCGGUAAGUCAGGCGUGAAAGCACCGGGCUCAACCUGGGAAUUGCGCUUGUUACUGCCGUGCUCGAGUCCGGGAGAGGAUAGCGGAAUUCCCAGUGUAGAGGUGAAAUUCGUAGAUAUUGGGAAGAACACCAGUGGCGAAGGCGCCUAUCUGGACCGGCACUGACGCUGAGGCGCGAAAGCGUGGGGAGAAAACAGG